rnacentral:rRNA from 1 species
ACUCCCAAACCCAAUGGUGAACGUUACCAAACUGUUGCCUCGGCGGGAUCUCUGCCCCGGGUGCGUCGCAGCCCCGGACCAAGGCGCCCGCCGGAGGACCAACCAAAACUCUUAUUGUAUACCCCCUCGCGGGUUUUUUUAUAAUCUGAGCCUUCUCGGCGCCCCUCGUGGGCGUUUCGAAAAUGAAUCAAAACUUUCAACAACGGAUCUCUUGGUUCUGGCAUCGAUGAAGAACGCAGCGAAAUGCGAUAAGUAAUGUGAAUUGCAGAAUUCAGUGAAUCAUCGAAUCUUUGAACGCACAUUGCGCCCGCCAGUAUUCUGGCGGGCAUGCCUGUCCGAGCGUCAUUUCAACCCUCGAACCCCUCCGGGGGGUCGGCGUUGGGGAUCGGCCCUCCCUCUGCGGGGGCCGUCUCCGAAAUACAGUGGCGGUCUCGCCGCAGCCUCUCCUGCGCAGUAGUUUGCACACUCGCACCGGGAGCGCGGCGCGUCCACAGCCGUUAAACACCCCAACUUUCUGAAAUGUUGACCUCGGAUCAGGUAGGAAUACCCGCUGAACUUAAGCAUAUCAAUAAGCGGAG